rnacentral:rRNA from 1 species
UACGAAGGGGCUAGCGUUGCUCGGAAUCGCUGGGCGUAAAGGGUGCGUAGGCGGGUCUUUUAAGUCAGGGGUGAAAUCCUGGAGCUCAACUCCAGAACUGCCUUUGAUACUGAGGAUCUUGAGUAUGGGAGAGGUGAGGUGGAACUGCGAGUGUAGAGGUGAAAUUCGUAGAUAUUCGCAAGAACACCAGUGGCGAAGGCGGCUCACUGGCCCAUUACUGACGCUGAGGCACGAAAGCGUGGGGAGCAAACGGGG